rnacentral:lncRNA from 1 species
UACAGGGGGUACCGGUACAGAGUCAAUGUGGAGGCUAUAUACAGGGUAUUACGGUACAGAGUCAAUGUGGAGGCUAUAUACAGGGUAUUACGGUACAGAGUCAAUGUGGAGGCUAUAUACAGGGUAUUACGGUACAGAGUCAAUGUGGAGGCUAUAUACAGGGGGUACCGGUACAGAGUCAGUGUGGAGGCUAUAUACAGGGGGUACCGGUACAGAGUCAAUGUGGAGGCUAUAUACAGGGGGUACCGGUACAGAGUCAAUGUGGAGGCUAUAUACAGGGCAUUACGGUACAGAGUCAAUGUGGAGGCUAUAUGCAGGGGGUACCGGUACAGAGUAAAUGUGGAGGCUAUAUACAGGGGGUACCGGUACAGAGUCAAUGUGGAGGCUAUAUACAGGGUAUUACGGUACAGAGUCAAUGUGGAGGCUAUAUACAGGGUAUUACGGUACAGAGUCAAUGUGGAGGCUAUAUACAGGGGGUACCGGUACAGAGUCAAUGUGGAGGCUAUAUACAGGGGGUACCGGUACAGAGUCAAUGUGGAGGCUAUAUACAGGGGGUACCGGUACUGAGUCAAUGUGGAGGCUAUAUACAGGGGGUACCGGUACAGAGUCAAUGUGGAGGCUAUAUACAGGGGGUACCGGUACUGAGUCAAUGUGGAGGCUAUAUACAGGGGGUACCGGUACAGAGUCAAUGUGGAGGCUAUAUACAGGAGGUACCGGUACAGAGUCAAUGUGGAGGCUAUAUACAGGGGGUACUGGUACAGAGUCAAUGUGGAGGCUAUAUACAGGGGGUACCGGUACAGAGUCAAUGUGGAGGCUAUAUACAGGGGGGUACGGUACAGAGUCAAUGUGGAGGCUAUAUACAGGGGGUACCGGUACAGAGUCAAUGUGGAGGCUAUAUACAGGGGGUACCGGUACAGAGUCAAUGUGGAGGCUAUAUACAGGGGGUACCGGUACAGAGUCAAUGUGGAGGCUAUAUACAGGGGGUACCGGUACAGAGUCAAUGUGGAGGCUAUAUACAGGGUAUUACGGUACAGAGUCAAUGUGGAGGCUAUAUACAGGGGGUACCGUACAGA